UACGUAGGGUGCAAGCGUUAAUCGGAAUUACUGGGCGUAAAGCGUGCGUAGGCGGUGUUCCAAGUCUGUUGUGAAAUCUCCCGGCUUAACCGGGAGGGUGCGGCGGAAACUGGGACGCUGGAGUGCGGGAGAGGUAAGCGGAAUUCCUGGUGUAGCGGUGAAAUGCGUAGAUAUCUGGAGGAACACCGGUGGCGAAGGCGGCAUCCUGGACCGACACUGACGCUGAGGAGCGAAAGCCAGGGGAGCAAACGGG
rnacentral:rRNA from 1 species